rnacentral:rRNA from 1 species
UACGGGGGGGCAAGCGUUGUUCGGAAUUACUGGGCGUAAAGGGCUCGUAGGCGGCCAACUAAGUCAGACGUGAAAUCCCUCGGCUUAACCGGGGAACUGCGUCUGAUACUGGAUGGCUAGAGAUUGGGAGAGGGAUGCGGAAUUCCAGGUGUAGCGGUGAAAUGCGUAGAUAUCUGGAGGAACACCGGUGGCGAAGGCGGCAUCCUGGACCAACACUGACGCUGAGGAGCGAAAGCCAGGGGAGCAAACGG